rnacentral:misc_RNA from 1 species
GAUGAAGAACGUAGCGAAAUGCGAUAAGUAAUGUGAAUUGCAGAAUUCAGUGAAUCAUCGAAUCUUUGAACGCACAUUGCGCCCCCUGGUAUUCCGGGGGGCAUGCCUGUCCGAGCGUCAUUGCUGCCCUCAAGCACGGCUUGUGUGUUGGGCCUCCGUCCUCCUCCCGGGGGACGGGCCCGAAAGGCAGCGGCGGCACCGCGUCCGGUCCUCGAGCGUAUGGGGCUUCGUCACCCGCUCUUGUAGGCCCGGCCGGCGCUUGCCGACACAUCAAUCUUUUUUCCAGGUUGACCUCGGAUCAGGUAGGGAUACCCGCUGAACUUAAGCGUAUCAAUAAGCGGAGGA